GUGUUGUGUGUGAAGGGCACAUGGUGGAUGCCUUGGCAUACUGGGCCGAUGAAGGACGUGAGAGGCUGCGUUAUGCCUCGGGGAGCUGCCAACUGAGCGUUGAUCCGAGGAUGUCCGAAUGGGGAAACCCGGCCACCGUGAUGGGUGGUCACCUCACAGUGAAUACAUAGCUGUGGUGGAGGUUGACGCGGGGAAGUGAAACAUCUCAGUACCCGUAGGAGAAGAAAAUAAAUUUAAUGAUUCCGUCAGUAGUGGCGAGCGAACGCGGAUGAUGGCUAAACCGUGUGUGUGUGAUACCCGGCAGGGGUUGCGCAUGCGGUGUUGUGGGAUGCGAUGGGGGUGGUCUGCCGGCCGCCCGCACUUAGCGCGCACUGUCAGCGGAAGUGGUCUGGGAAGGCCCACCGGAGUAGGUGAGAGUCCUGUACGUGAAGAUGGUGUGUGUGGUGUUGUCGUUUUCCCGAGUAGCAGCGGGCACGUGAAAUCUGCUGUGAAUCUGCCGGGACCACCCGGUAAGCCUGAAUACCCAG
rnacentral:rRNA from 1 species